GGCCUGUUCGUCUAUCGGCGAGGACGCCUGGUUCUCAACCAGAAAAGAGGGGUUCGAUUCCCCUACAGGUCA
rnacentral:tRNA from 1 species